AUUGAACGCUGGCGGCAGGCCUAACACAUGCAAGUCGAACGAGCGGCGGACGGGUGAGUAAUGUCUGGGAAUCUGCCUGAUGGCGGGGGAUAACUACUGGAAACGGUAGCUAAUACCGCAUACCAUCGGAUGUGCCCAUAUGGGAUUAGCUUGUAGGUGGGGUAAAGGCUCACCUAGGCGACGAUCCCUAGCUGGUCUGAGAGGAUGACCAGCCACACUGGGACUGAGACACGGCCCAGACUCCUACGGGAGGCAGCAGUGGGGAAUAUUGCACAAUGGGCGCAAGCCUGAUGCAGCCAUGCCGCGUGUAUGAAGAAGGCCCUAGGGUUGUAAAGUACUUUCAGUCGGGAGGCGUUACCGACAGAAGAAGCACCGGCUAACUCCGUGCCAGCAGCCGCGGUAAUUC
rnacentral:rRNA from 1 species